GAUGAACGCUGGCGGCGUGCCUAACACAUGCAAGUCGAGCGAUGAAGUUUCCUUCGGGAAAUGGAUUAGCGGCGGACGGGUGAGUAACACGUGGGUAACCUGCCUCAUAGUGGGGGAUAGCCUUCCGAAAGGGAGAUUAAUACCGCAUAACAUCAUUAGAUGGCAUCAUUUAGUGAUCAAAGGAUUUAUUCGCUAUGAGAUGGACCCGCGUCGCAUUAGCUAGUUGGUAGGGUAAUGGCUUACCAAGGCGACGAUGCGUAGCCGACCUGAGAGGGUGAUCGGCCACAUUGGGACUGAGACACGGCCCAAACUCCUACGGGAGGCAGCAGUGGGGAAUAUUGCACAAUGGGGGAAACCCUGAUGCAGCAACGCCGCGUGAGUGAUGACGGUCUUCGGAUUGUAAAGCUCUGUCUUUGGGGACGAUAAUGACGGUACCCAAGGAGGAAGCCACGGCUAACUAC
rnacentral:rRNA from 1 species